rnacentral:lncRNA from 1 species
UCGAAUAAUAUUUCAGUUAACAAGUCAAGAGAGAGAGGAGUAACAGAGGCAAAUACCCGAACAGACUCAAAAUCAACCGACAAGCCAGCUAAGAUGACACUUAUCUGUUCUUGCUCAGAUAUAGGACUCCCAGCAGCAGUUAAGUCAUCACUAAGUUGUUUCACCUUAGCCACAUAAUCUUUAACAGAAAGAUUUGUUUUCUUUAGGGAAUAUAACGCAUGACGCAUGCUCGAGAUCUUUAAAGAGGACUUUGCACUAAAUCGUUUUUCAAUGGUGUU